GAACGCAUACUUUAGAGUAUGAGUGGCAGACGGGUGAGUAACGCGUGAGACAUCUACCUUACAGCCCGGUAUAAAUAUCUAUAUAGAGGCGAAAAUCUUUAUAUAUGAGUGAAUCCCGGAUAUUUUGAAUAAAAAAAAAAGGCAAAGAACCGUUGUAAGAUGAGCUCGCGUAGGAUUAGGUAGUUGGUAAGGUAAAAGCUUAUCCAAGCCGAUGAUCCUUAGCUGUUCUGAGAGGAUGAUCAGCCACACUGGGACUGAGACACGGCCCAGACGCUUUCGAGCGGCAGCAGUGAGGAAUUUUGGACAAUGGGCGAAAGCCUGAUCCAGCUAUAUCGCAUGAAUGAAGAAGGCUCAAUUGGUUGUAAAAUUCAUAGUUUCAUUGUAGAUUAUGACAUUGAUGAAAUGAAUAGUCCCGGCCAACUCCGUGC
rnacentral:rRNA from 1 species